UCGGACAAUGACGACGCGAUCAUCGUGUAGUGAAUAUCGCCGAAUCGAAUUCUCCCGGUAUUACGUUCUCAUUUUAUUUUGUAACGGAGUAAAACGUGCGAUCGGUGCGUGUGUCCAAUUUCGGGUAUCUUAAUUAUCGACGAAUAUAUUUCCAACGAAUAUUUCAAGCUUCGUAGAUCUACGAAAUACAUAUUACGACGUUGGAGGGAGAUACAACGUGUGACUUCGAAAUUAAAUUGGAAAAAUGUCGGAAUAUCGGGAACGAGAAUAUCGGAAUUAUUACCAGGACGAUUACCUCACCUGUUCGUUUACCUGGACUAGAAGGUAGAAGGUAGAAGUGUAUAGUACCUAGUGGUACCGGAAGAAAUGUUUUCGACGUGCUUUUGAAGGUGCAAGGAGCACCGGUCGUUAAGGUUGUUCAUCACUCCUGCUUUUAUAAUGGUUUAUGCCGGCAAUGAAUCCAGAAGUAAUUUCCAGAUCGAUUUUGAAGAACAAGGAAGGACUCGUUUCAAAGAGAUGAAACUGCAAACGAGGAUACCAUACCAGAAUCGAAGAGAGAAAGUCGUCGCUUUUUCUGGUAAGCCAGAAUCGAAAAAUUCGAGAGUGAUGUAUCGUCGCGCGAACGUCAAACGAUAUUCUUUUUUAUCGGUCGGAACAUGUCCUACUCGACCACCGGAACUACGGACGCGAAAAAAAAAUGCCGAUAAAAAAUGCUGAUUUUCAGAGAUCGUCGAACACGCGAAAAAUCAAAUCGUAGAGAGUGAAUGAAUGAGAGAGAAAGAGAGAGAGAAGGACAAAGAGUCCCGUCAUUGAAAAUCCUCCCCGUCGUUUUGUCAAUUCUCGAUUGACUGAUCGUUCGAACAAAAGAAGAAAAAAAAAUAUUAAAAAAAAAUAUAUAUAUAUACAUAUAAUAGCGCUUUAUGUUCGAACUGUAAUCCCAACUAUGAUGAACUCUUCAACGAAUUAGAAGCUCGAUACU